rnacentral:rRNA from 1 species
AGGACGCCAGUUUUGGCGGAGCCAUCCUUGGGAUACCACCCUUGUAGUACUGGGACUCUAACCAUAGGCCAUGAAUCUGGUCUUGGGACACUGUCAGGUGGGCAGUUUGACUGGGGCGGUCGCCUCCCAAAAGGUAACGGAGGCGCUCAAAGGUUCUCUCAGUACGGUCGGAAAUCGUACGUAGAGUGUAAAGGCAAAAGAGAGCUUGAUUGCAAGACAUACAGGUCGAGCAAGGAUGAAAAUCGGACUUAGUGAUCCGGUGGUUCUGCGUGGAAGGGCCAUCGCUCAACGGAUAAAAGCUACCCUGGGGAUAACAGGCUUAUCUCCCCCAAGAGUCCACAUCGACGGGGAGGUUUGGCACCUCGAUGUCGGCUCAUCACAUCCUGGGGCUGUAGUAGGUCCCAAGGGUUGGGCUGUUCGCCCAUUAAAGUGGUACGCGAGCUGGGUUCAGAACGUCGUGAGACAGUUCGGUCCCUAUCCGUCGCAGGCGUAGGAAAUUUGAGAAGACCUGUCCUUAGUACGAGAGGACCGGGAUGGACGUACCUCUGGUGUACCAGUUGUUCUGCCAAGGGCAUGGCUGGGUAGCUAUGUACGGAAUGGAUAAGCGCUGAAAGCAUCUAAGCGCGAAGCCAACU